GUACAGCAAUGGUUGGUUUCUUAUAGUCAGUAUUUAUGUUUAAGAUGAAAUUAUUUGCUGCAAUGUUUUAGUAAAAUUGUAAACAUUCAUUUAUUGCAAAUUGUUCAAUUUAAGUUAUUCCAAUUUUCUAAAUGUUUUAUUUUUAUUUUUAAAUCUUUGUGCAUCAGUUUCAUCUAAUCUGCUAUGGUAAGUUUGGUUCCAUCAGAGUGUUAAGUAGAAUAAAAAUGAAAUAUAAUAAAAUAAUUUUUCAUAAAUUCUGAUUCAUUUCUCAGGGAUCCCUAAAAUAUUUUGCAGUGCAUUUGUUAUAUGAAGAUUUAUUGGGUUGUAGUUUUUGUUAAAAGUACAUCAUGACCAGAAAACUAUAAGUUGCUCUAUCAUUUUGAAGAGAUAAAUCUUCAAUUACUUUUUUGUUACACACUUAAUACAACCAAACACGGUUUCAUGGAGCAAUGUAAUUUUGAGACACACACCCUAAGGAACGUUCAAAGUGGAAUCCGUUAUUGCUAACUAUCAGUGACAAAGUCAAUCAAGGCACGAAGUAAAAUGAAAUAAAACAAAAUGAAACAAUAAAUAAAGAAAACAAAAUAAUAUAAACAAGGUGACUGCCGAAAUGAUGAAAUUUUGCGUAAUCUAUCGAAACACCAAGAUCAGAUUUGCCAGAAACGGUACUCACCAUCUCCGGA